rnacentral:rRNA from 1 species
UUAAGCUACUAAGAGCAUAAGGUGAAUGACUUGGCACCAAGAGCCGAAGAAAGACGUGAUAAGCUGCGAUAAGCAACGGGGAGAAGCAAAUAUUCCGUGAUCCGUUGAUUUCUGAAUGGGGAAACCCAACUAGAGAAAAAAGUCUAGUUACCCAUACAUAAGUAAAGUAGUGUAUGAGGAGGGAACGUAGGGAACUGAAACAUCUUAGUACCUACAGGAAAAGAAAGAAAAAUCGAUUCCUUGAGUAGUGGCGAGCGAAAGAGGAAGAGCCUAAACCUAUGGUAGUAAUACCGUAGGGGUUCGGACUACAUAAUCGAUCUAACAAGUUUAACAGAAUUGCUUGGAAAGGCAGACCAUAGAUAGUGAAAGUCUAGUAUGUGAAAAAUGAGUUAGCGAGGUAGUAUCCAGAGUAGUGCAAGACACGUGAAAUCUUGUAUGAAUGAGCGGGGACCAUCCCGUAAGGCUAAAUACUACUUGGUGACCGAUAGUGGAGCAGUACCGUGAGGGAAAGUUGAAAAGAACCCCGGGAGGGGAGUGAAAAGAACCUGAAACCUUAUGUUUACAAGCAGACAAAGCACGUUAAAGUGCGAUGUCGUACUUUUUGUAGAACGGUCCGGCGAGUUAUUGUAUAUGGCAAGGUUAAGUACUAAUAAGGUAUGGAGCCGAAGUGAAAACGAGUCUGAAAAGGGCGACUUAAGUCAUAUAUAAUAGACCCGAAACUGAGUGACCUAUCCAUGGUCAGGAUGAAGCUUGAGUAAAAUCAAGUGGAGGUCCGAACUGAUUGUCGUUAAAAAGGCACCGGAUGAACUGUGGAUAGCGGAGAAAUUCCAAUCGAACUCAGAGAUAGCUGGUUCUCCUCGAAAUAGCUUUAGGGCUAGCCUUGAGGUAAAAGAUUCAUGGGGGUAGAGCACUGAAGGAGCUAGGGGCCUAAACCAGGUUACUGAACUCUAUCAAACUCCGAAUACCGUGAAUUGUUUCUCAGGAGUCAGACUGCGGGAGCUAAGUUCCGUGGUCAAAAGGGAAAGAGCCCAGAUCGUCAAUUAAGGUCCCAAAGAAAUAGCUAAGUGGAAAACGAUGUGAUUUUGCGUAAACAACCAGGAUGUUGGCUUAGAAGCAGCCAUUCAUUCAAAGAGUGCGUAAUAGCUCACUGGUCGAGUGAAGUUGCGCGGAAAAUUACCGGGGCUAAGCUAUUCACCGAAAUUGCGAAUUUAUGUAGAAAUACAUAAGUGGUAGAGGAGCAUUCUAUAGUAGGACGAAGGUAGACCGAAAGGACUGCUGGACGAGAUAGAAGAGAGAAUGCCGGAAUAAGUAGCGAGAGCAAGGUGAGAAUCCUUGCCGUCGAAAGUCUCAGGUUUCCUGGGGAAGGUUCGUCCGCCCAGGGUAAGUCGGGACCUAAGGUGAGGCCGAAAGGCGUAGCCGAUGGAUAGCAGGCAAAAAAUUCCUGCACUAUAGAUAUACAAUAAAAAGCGCAUGUGACACAGUAGAGGAAGAUAAGCGAGGAAGAGGAAAAACUCGUACCGCAAGGUAUAGUGAAAAAUAAAAGUAACGAAUUAUCAAGAAUCACACUGGCAAGAAAAGCAUGUGAGUCUAGUAUAUAAAUACCCGUACCGCAAACCGACACAGGUAGAUGAGGAGAGGAUCCUAAGACGAACGGGAGAAGCAUUGUUAAGGAACUCGGCAAAAUGACCCCGUAACUUCGGAAGAAGGGGUGCUGGUGUAAAAGCCAGUCGCAGAGAAGAGUCCCAAGCAACUGUUUAACAAAAACAUAGGUUUCUGCUAAAUCGAAAGAUGAAGUAUAGGAGCUGACGCCUGCCCAGUGCUGGAAGGUUAAGGGAAAGAGUUAGGAGUAAUCCGAAGCCCUGAACUGAAGCCCCAGUGAACGGCGGCCGUAACUAUAACGGUCCUAAGGUAGCGAAAUUCCUUGUCAGGUAAGUUCUGACCCGCACGAAAGGCGUAAUGAUUUGGG